rnacentral:rRNA from 1 species
GACGAACGCUGGCGGCGUGCUUAACACAUGCAAGUCGAGCGGUAAGGCCUUUCGGGGUACACGAGCGGCGAACGGGUGAGUAACACGUGGGUGAUCUGCCCUGCACUUCGGGAUAAGCCUGGGAAACUGGGUCUAAUACCGGAUAUGACCUCCUAUCGCAGGGUGGGUGGUGGAAAGAUUUAUCGGUGCAGGAUGGGCCCGCGGCCUAUCAGCUUGUUGGUGGGGUAAUGGCCUACCAAGGCGACGACGGGUAGCCGACCUGAGAGGGUGACCGGCCACACUGGGACUGAGACACGGCCCAGACUCCUACGGGAGGCAGCAGUGGGGAAUAUUGCACAAUGGGCGAAAGCCUGAUGCAGCGACGCCGCGUGAGGGAUGACGGCCUUCGGGUUGUAAACCUCUUUCAGCAGGGACGAAGCGCAAGUGACGGUACCUGCAGAAGAAGCACCGGCUAACUACGUG